rnacentral:miRNA from 1 species
AUGGAUUUUAAAACUGGGAUGC